GCUGGCAAGGGUCUGUAGUCCCAGCUACUCCAGAGGCUGAGGCUGGAGGAUCACUUGAGCCCAGGAGCUCUGGGCUACAGUGCGCUAUGCCGAUCGGGUGUCUGCACUAAGUUUGGCAUCAAUAUGGUGACAUCCAGGAGCGGGGAACCACGAGGUUGCCUAAGGAGGGGUGAACUGGCCCAGGUCAGAAACGGAUCAGUAGUGGGAUCACACCUGUGAAUAGCCACUGCACUCCAGCCUGGGCAACAUGAGCAAAACUGUCUCAA
ensembl:misc_RNA Metazoa_SRP Metazoan signal recognition particle RNA